rnacentral:rRNA from 1 species
GACGAACGCUGGCGGCGUGCCUAAUACAUGCAAGUCGAGCGGACCGAACAGGAGCUUGCUCUUGUUCGGUUAGCGGAGGACGGGUGAGUAACACGUGGGUAACCUGCCCGUAAGACCGGGAUAACUCCGGGAAACCGGAGCUAAUACCGGAUAACACCGAAGACCGCAUGGUCUUUGGUUGAAAGGCGGCUUCGGCUGCCACUUACGGAUGGGCCCGCGGCGCAUUAGCUAGUUGGUGAGGUAACGGCUCACCAAGGCGACGAUGCGUAGCCGGCCUGAGAGGGUGACCGGCCACACUGGGACUGAGACACGGCCCAGACUCCUACGGGAGGCAGCAGUAGGGAAUCUUCCGCAAUGGACGAAAGUCUGACGGAGCGACGCCGCGUGAGCGAAGAAGGUCUUCGGAUCGUAAAGCUCGGUUGUUAGGGAAGAAGAAGCGUCGUUCGAACAGGGCGGCGCGGUGACGGUACCUAACGAGAAAGCCCCGGCUAACUACGUG